CCUACGGGUGGCAGCAGUAGGGAAUAUUGCUCAAUGGGGGAAACCCUGAAGCAGCAACGCCGCGUGGAGGAUGAAGGUUUUCGGAUUGUAAAGCUCUUUUGUUAGAGAAGAUAAUGACGGUAUCUAACGAAUAAGCACCGGCUAACUCCGUGCCAGCAGCCGCGGUAAUACGGAGGGUGCAAGCGUUACCCGGAAUCACUGGGCGUAAAGCGCGCGUAGGCGGGAGAGCAAGUCAGAUGUGAAAUCCUAUGGCUUAACCAUAGAACUGCAUUUGAAACUGUUAAUCUAGAGUAUGGGAGAGGUAGGUGGAAUUCUUGGUGUAGGGGUAAAAUGCGUAGAGAUCAAGAGGAACACUCAUUGCGAAGGCGACCUACUGGACCAUAACUGACGCUGAGGCGCGAAAGCGUGGGGAGCAAACAGGAUUAGAUACCCUUGUAGUC
rnacentral:rRNA from 1 species